rnacentral:rRNA from 1 species
CCUACGGGCGGCUGCAGUGGGGAAUUUUGGACAAUGGGCGCAAGCCUGAUCCAGCCAUUCCGCGUGAGUGAAGAAGGCCUUCGGGUUGUAAAGCUCUUUCGCAAGGGAAGAAAACUUAUCCUCUAACAUAGGAUGAGGUUGACGGUACCUUGAUAAGAAGCACCGGCUAACUACGUGCCAGCAGCCGCGGUAAUACGUAGGGAGGUAGCGGUAAUCGGAAGUGCUGGGCGUAAUUUGUGAGUCGGCUGUGAAAUCCCCGAGCUCAACUUGGGAACUGCGUUUGAAACUACAAGACUAGAAUAGGUCAGAGGGGGGUAGAAUUCCACGUGUAGCAGUGAAAUGCGUAGAGAUGUGGAGGAAUAUCAAUGGCGAAGGCAGCCCCCUGGGAUCAUAUUGACGCUCAUGCACGAAAGCGUGGGGAGCAAACAGGAUUAGAUACCCCGGUAGUC